rnacentral:piRNA from 1 species
CCGAAUCAAAGAUGAUGUGAAUGACCCUG